rnacentral:misc_RNA from 1 species
CUGUGGUGGGCGGUCCUUCGGGAUACGUCUCGCCCGAGAUAGAACCCUUGCCUUUGAGUACCUUCUGUUUCCUCGGCAGGCUCGCCUGCCAAUGGGGACCUAAACCAAACCUCUUGUAUAGCAGUAAACGUCAACAAACAAAUAAAUUA